AUUGAACGCUGGCGGCAGGCCUAACACAUGCAAGUCGAGCGAGCGGCGGACGGGUGAGUAAUGUAUGGGGACUGCCCGCUAGAGGGGGAUAACUACUGGAAACGGUAGCUCAUACCGCAUACUCUCGCAUAACCCAUAUGGGAUUAGCUAGUAGGUGAGGUAAUGGCUCACCUAGGCGACGAUCCCUAGCUGGUCUGUGAGGAUGAUCAGCCACACUGGGACUGAGACACGGCCCAGACUCCUACGGGGGCAGCAGUGGGGAAUAUUGCACAAUGGGCGCAAGCCUGAUGCAGCCAUGCCGCGUGUAUGAAGAAGGCCCUGGGGUUGUAAAGUACUUUCAGUCGGGAGGCGUUACCGACAGAAGAAGCACCGGCUAACUCCGUGCCAGCAGCCGCGGUAAUUC
rnacentral:rRNA from 1 species